rnacentral:rRNA from 1 species
UCUUUUUGUUAUAUAUUUAAAGUCUAGCCUGCCCACUGAUAAAUUAAAUGGCCGCAGUAUUUUGACUGUGCUAAGGUAGCAUAAUCAUUAGUUUUUUAAUUGAAAGCUGGAAUGAAGGGUUUAAUGAAAAAAUAACUGUCUUUAUUUAAUUAUAUUAUAAAUUUAUUUUUAAGUUAAAAAGCUUAAAUUAUUUUAAAAGACGAGAAGACCCUAUAGAGUUUUAUUUUUAAAAUUUAUAUAAAUUUUUGGGAUUAAUAUUUAUUUAAUUUUUAAAAAUUUAAUUGGGGUGAUUAAAAAAUUUAAUUAACUUUUUUUAUAUUUAAAUAUUAUUAAAUAAUUAUAUGAUCCAAAAUUUUUUGAUUAAAAGAAAAAAUUACCUUAGGGAUAACAGCGUAAUUUUAUUUUAAAGUUCUAAUUAAAAAUAAAGAUUGCGACCUCGAUGUUGGAUUAAAA